rnacentral:rRNA from 1 species
AGAGUUUGAUCCUGGCUCAGGACGAACGCUGGCGGCGUGCUUAACACAUGCAAGUCGAACGAAGAGCGAUGGAAGCUUGCUUCUAUCAAUCUUAGUGGCGAACGGGUGAGUAACGCGUAAUCAACCUGCCCUUCAGAGGGGGACAACAGUUGGAAACGACUGCUAAUACCGCAUACGAUCCAACCUCGGCAUCGAGGAUGGAUGAAAGGUGGCCUCUAUUUAUAAGCUAUCACUGAAGGAGGGGAUUGCGUCUGAUUAGCUAGUUGGAGGGGUAACGGCCCACCAAGGCAAUGAUCAGUAGCCGGUCUGAGAGGAUGAACGGCCACAUUGGGACUGAGACACGGCCCAGACUCCUACGGGAGGCAGCAGUGGGGAAUCUUCCGCAAUGGACGAAAGUCUGACGGAGCAACGCCGCGUGAGUGAUGACGGCCUUCGGGUUGUAAAGCUCUGUUAAUCGGGACGAAAGGUCCUCUUGCGAAUAGUUAGAGGAAUUGACGGUACCGGAAUAGAAAGCCACGGCUAACUACGUGCCAGCAGCCGCGGUAAUACGUAGGUGGCAAGCGUUGUCCGGAAUUAUUGGGCGUAAAGCGCGCGCAGGCGGAUCAGUCAGUCUGUCUUAAAAGUUCGGGGCUUAACCCCGUGAUGGGAUGGAAACUGCUGAUCUAGAGUAUCGGAGAGGAAAGUGGAAUUCCUAGUGUAGCGGUGAAAUGCGUAGAUAUUAGGAAGAACACCAGUGGCGAAGGCGACUUUCUGGACGAAAACUGACGCUGAGGCGCGAAAGCCAGGGGAGCGAACGGGAUUAGAUACCCCGGUAGUCCUGGCCGUAACCGAU